rnacentral:rRNA from 1 species
UACGGAGGGGGCUAGCGUUGUUCGGAUUGACUGGGCGUAAAGCGCGCGUAGGCGGAUUGGCAAGUCAGAGGUGAAAGCCCGGGGCUCAACCCCGGAACGGCCUUUGAGACUGCAUCGCUCGAAUCCGGGAGAGGUGAGUGGAAUUCCGAGUGUAGAGGUGAAAUUCGUAGAUAUUCGGAAGAACACCAGUGGCGAAGGCGGCUCACUGGACCGGCAUUGACGCUGAGGUGCGAAAGCGUGGGGAGCAAACAGG